rnacentral:lncRNA from 1 species
UUAGUGGUAUGACAUUAAAUUCCAUUUACUUAGUAAAGGGGGAUGAAGGUGAAAAAAGAGCAGAGCUGGAAUUGCAUUAAAAAACAUUUUAUUCAUGUUCAUUUGGAUGAAUCUUUCCUACGAAGCAAUUGAGUACUUGGAACUGCAUCUUCUCAUCGCUCCUAGUAGCUCAUAUUUCUUCAUUUAAAUAUCCUGCUUCACGCCUUCUGAUCUUCUCUUCAACUUACUGUUCAAGGCUUCUUUCUGCCUUGCUCAGUAGAUCGUAUCUCCUUUAAUGGAAAGAAUCGUUCGUUGUACAGAUGUUCUUAAUAUCAAGGUCUAGAAUAGUGACUUCUAACCUCAUGAAACAUUGCUUCUAUUCUCAAGAACACAUCCAUUGCUUCAGGUCUUCUGGGAAUCAUCGUAUACUUCUAUAAGAACUAAGGAGUUCCAUAAAAAGAUAGAAUAAUCGAAUGUAAGACCCAGUGAGAAACAGAGAGAGAGAUGGAGUUGUAGUUCUCCAUCGACAUUAUUGAGUGGAUUCCUCCUUAAGUCUAUGAAAACUAUUUCAUUGAUUAAAGUCCUUAUUGUCCUCUACACUCAUUUUAAUCACAUUUAUAAUUUGGACUUCGUGAUAUACGAUCUAUAUGGAUAAUUAUAUAUCCCGGACACUUCAAGCCUACACCUGAUUUUUUUUAUUACUUUUUUCUCAGCAAAGCAUAUUCUAUUCUACUAUUACGUAUAGAUAGUUAUUGGGAACUUGUUAGAGAUUAUGUGUUAAUAAAAAUAUAAGUGCCCCCUUAACUUCUGAAGACUUUUAUUGGAAUAUCUGAAUGUCGUUCCAAUCUCCAAACUUAUUGAGUAGGAAAUCCUCUUCUAAACAACUUCUUACCAUAUUACUCUUGCGAAGAUCUAGGAUCUUCUCAUAAAUAAAUUAAUUACAUAAUGUUAGCCAUACGAGGGAAUUAUAAGUUGUUUAUUGAAAACAAUAUUUUAAAUGUAACAAAAUACAAAAGUAUUUUAAGCAUUAUAAAAGUAAUAUUGUACAAAUAAUAAAAAGAUUAGAAUA